rnacentral:rRNA from 1 species
AGAGUUUGAUCCUGGCUCAGAGUGAACGCUAGCGGUGCGCCUAACACAUGCAAGUCGCGGGAGGGUUCGACCCGACCGGCGAACGGCUGCAUAACACGUUGGAACCUGCCCCGAACUCAGGGAUAACCUACCGAAAGGUGGGCUAAUACCGGAUAGCCCCGCAAGGGUAAAGCUUUUGCGGUUCGGGAGGGGCCUGCGGCCUAUCAGCUUGUUGGUAAGGUAAUGGCUUACCAAGGCUAUGACGGGUAGCUGAUCUGAGAGGAUGAUCAGCCAGAAUGGGACUGAGACACGGCCCAUACUCCUACGGGAGGCAGCAGUGAGGAAUCUUUCGCAAUGGGCGCAAGCCUGACGGAGCGACACCGCGUGAAGGAUGAAACCAUUUUUUGGCGUAAACUUCUGUUCUGAGGGAACAAAUUUUUGAGGGUACCUCAGGAGAAAGCACCGGCUAAUUCCGUGCCAGCAGCCGCGGUAAGACGGAAGGUGCAAGCGUUACUCGGAAUCACUGGGCGUAAAGCGUCUGUAGGUGGAAAAAUAAGUCUGCGGUGAAAGGUAGGAGCUCAACUCCUAUUGCGUUGCGGAAACUGUUUUUCUUGAGCAACUCAGUGGCACCUGGAAUGCUGUGUGUAGGGGUAAUAUCCGUUGAUACACAGUGGAACGCUAAAAGCGAAAGCAGGGUGCUGGGGGUUUGCUGACACUGAGAGACGAAAGCGUGGGUAGCGAACGGGAUUAGAUACCCCGGUAGUCCACGCCCUAAACGAUGCGUGUUCGGUGUGGGGGAACGUUCGAUCGAUCCUCCGUGCCUCAGCUAACGCGGUAAACACGCCGCCUAGGGAGUACGGCCGCAAGGCUAAAACUUAAAGGAAUAGACGGGGACCCACACAAGCGGUGGAGCAUGGGGUUUAAUUCGAUAAUAAGCGGGGCACCUCACCCAGGUUUGACAUCUUAGAAAUCCCCUGGAAACAGGGGAGUGCCGCAAGGAAUCUAAAGACAGGUGCUGCACGGUCGUCGUCAGCUCGUGCCUUGAGGUGUGUUGUUAAGUCAAUGAACGAGCGCAACCCUCAUCCUGUGUUGCAUUUUCACAGGAGACUGCCGGCUCCAAGUCGGAGGAAGGCGAGGAUGACGUCAGAUCAGCGUGGCCCUUAUACCUGGGGCGACACCCGUGCUACAAUGGCCGAUACAAAGGGCAGCUAAGCCGCGAGGCGGAGCGAAUCCCCCAAAGUCGGUCUCAGUUCGGAUCGUAGGCUGCAAUUCGCCUACGUGAAGUUGGAAUCGCUAGUAACCGUGAAUCAGCCACGUCACGGUGAAUAUGUUCCUGGGUCUUGUACUCACCGCCGUCAAG